UCGCUACUACCGAUUGAAUGGCUAAGUGAGGCUUUCGGACUGGCUCAGGGAGGUCGGCAACGACCACCCAGAGCUGGAAAGUUGUCCAAACUUGGUCAUUUAGAGGAAGUAA
rnacentral:rRNA from 1 species